rnacentral:rRNA from 1 species
UACGGAGGGUGCUAGCGUUGUUCGGAAUUACUGGGCGUAAAGCGCGCGUAGGCGGCUUUGUAAGUUAGAGGUGAAAGCCCGGAGCUCAACUCCGGAACUGCCUUUAAGACUGCAUCGCUAGAAUUGUGGAGAGGUGAGUGGAAUUCCGAGUGUAGAGGUGAAAUUCGUAGAUAUUCGGAAGAACACCAGUGGCGAAGGCGACUCACUGGACACAUAUUGACGCUGAGGUGCGAAAGCGUGGGGAGCAAACAGG